AGCAAACACUUAAGUGCAUCAAAACCUCGUACAUUUGCAUUGGUAGGCUUGAAGGCUCUGAUACCGUAUAGAUUUAGAUAGAAGCAUCUUUCUUUUCAUGAAAUCAAGACGCUUUGUAAUUUCUUUAAAGGUCAUUACAGUAUUCAUUACCAUUCUUGCAUACAGGUCUUACAUGAAUCUUUAAUCGUUUGUUCUUAUGAAUCUUUAUUCUCAUAUGGUUGGUUGUUGUGGUGGAAGCUGAAGUUGGUUAUUUAUUUGCAGUGACAAUCUCAGGUUUACUUAGGCGUAUUCAUCUGCAAUCUCCAAGAGAAGAGCACAUAGUUCUUUAGGCCUGGAAGACAUUGCCAUAUGAUCUGCAUCUUGGAUCUCCAUUACUUCUUUCACUUGAAAGUUACUGAUCAUCCAACGUUGGUAUUCCUCAGGUAAUAUAUUAUCCUCUCCACAUAUGAUAUAAAUACGUGUAACCGAUCCAUACCCUCCCUCAGUAAAACUUCUUGUCCCUGUCAGAUUGGUCGUAACCACCGGGUUCACCCUUACCAACAAUUUCGCCAAUACAAGAUCCUAACCGUUGAGAACAGAGAAUAGAAAAAGAUUGACUGGUUACUAGCAAUCUCAUUUGUUAGAAUAAGGUAUGAUUAGGCUUGGAGUCUUACUUCU
rnacentral:lncRNA from 1 species